GCCGGGCGUGGUGGCGGGCGCCUGUAGUCUCAGCUACUUGGGAGGCUGAGGCGGGAGAAUGGCGUGAACCCGGGAGGCGGAGCUUGCAGUGAGCCGAGAUCAGGCCACUGCACUCCAGCCUGGGAGCACAGCGAGACUCGGUCUCAAAAAAAAAAAAAAAAAAAGAUUUUAUUAUUUUCUUGUCUUUUGAGACAGGGUUUUGUUCUGUCACCCAGGCUGGAGUGCAGUGGUGUGAUCUCAGCUCACUGCAACCUCUGCCUCCUGGGCUCAAGCAAUCCUCCUGCCUCAG
rnacentral:SRP_RNA from 1 species